UAUUGUGGAUUUAUGCAUUGUUUCUCGCCAGAAAAUUUGUUGAUCUCGCGAUAUUAUGUUCAAUUUCUUCUCCUGCUUUCUGUGUCCCUUCCAUUUAUUGAGAGGCGUGGUUGUCUGGAGGCCAUGAUUUUCCUUUGCUUUUUAACUUCUUGGAAGCUAAUCUAUUUCUUUACCUUCUUCUUUUUUGAAACCAAACAGAUAGGGGAAAGACAUACGAGAGAGGCUGUUAUGGAGAAGAAAAGGAUCCAGUAAGAGGGUCUUGCUCUUGCACCAACGAUCAUGAGGUCCGUGGUGCUACGAUGGUGCUUUCAAUGUAGAUAGGAAUCUGUGAAAAAAAACAAAGGAAGUUCGUGGGGGCUCAGAGCAGAGUUGGAAGGUUACUGCCGUAGUGGCCUUCUCUUUUGCAUCGAAGGCAAUAUGGCAAGGUUUUGACAUGUUUAAAAUUUGGAGAAGGAAUAGCUGUUGUAGCUUGCUGACUUAGGUAUAAGUUGGUUGGGUUGGUUCUUUUGAAGGCAUUCCCGAGCUUCUCCAUGCCCCUUUUAUGUGCAGGUAAGGAAUUAUAUAGCGGUUCAUCAUGCAACUUAUUCACCUCCAUUUAUGGAUCAGACACAGACGAUGUUUGCUUCUGGUUUAGGUCCCUGCUUUGAGUUUUUCCUGUUGUUUUGCAUUCAUGGGUUUAGCGUCAGGGAACUAACUGAAUUAGACUUUGAGCCUUUUCCAUCAUCCAUGGGUCAGUCCGUUACCGAGCCAUCUAUGUGUAUUCAUGUUUUGAAAAAUAAAUUAGUGUUGUGCAGUAGCACUGUGAAUGAUAGGAGGCAGAUGAUAGGGUUAGUUUAGUGUUUUAAUUAGUUUGGACUGUCUUCUUUACAUGUUGCCCACAAAGUGUUUGAUGAGGAUUUUGAGAGAGAUGUGUUUUAUUUUUAAGUUGUUCCUUGGAUUUUAUUCUUGCUGUAUGUUGAGCUUUUAGGUCCUUUUUUUUUUCAGGUUCUUGAUGCUCUUAGGGAAAGACAUGCUAAUUAAAUGAUGUUUGGGUCAGUGGUGGAUGUAUGUUGAGCUUUUAAAGUCCUUUUUUCGGGUUCUUGAUGCUCUUAGGGAAAGACAUGCCAAUUAAAUGAUGUUUGGGUCAGUGGUGGAUGAAAGAGACUGUGAUAAGAGGUCUUUGUGUUUGUGCAUUUCAUGUUUUUAUGGAUUUCAUACUUGGCUUAAAGAUGCUAUUAAUUUUGUCUUUGGUUAUGUGUUUCGUUGACAGAGAUCUAUAUUGUUUCUUUUUGCAUGUCAUGGUCCUUUUCUAUGCAAUUGCUUUAUAAUGGAGCAGCUUCAGAAAAAUUCAGUCCUUCACAUGACAUUAGACAAGGCGACCCUUUUUCUUGGUAUAUUUUAUGUAUCAUGCAUGGAAGAAUUUACUCAUUUAAUUACAUAACAAGUGCAUAUUAGAAAAUGGAAUCCUGUAGCAUUGGAAAAAGGGGGCUUGAAUUUCACAUUUGUUUUUUGUUGGUGAUUAAAUUCUCUGUGGAGUCCUCUGUAAAAUCAUAUUGAUGUUAUUUUGGGAUGCUUAAAGAAGUUGUGUGCCUCAUUUGGUAAAAAAAAAUUGGUGUUUUCAAAACCAAUAUUUUCUUCUCCGAAAACACCUAUAAACAGGUAUCAAAAUGCAAUCAGCAAUGGAGAUGGUUUUAUAUUGAUGAUAUCUGACAUCAAAGAUAUUGUUGAGAGAGUUUGGAGCAAAUUCUCAGCUUCGAAAAAUACACAAUUUUUCUGUAGCCGGAAGAGUCGCUCUCUGCAUUUUUGUAGUCCAUACUAUACUGAUGUAUGCAAUGUAGACAACUCAUCUCCCCUGGGUUUGUGCGCGAGGCUAUUGACAAAUUGCAUCAAAGUUUUGUUUGGGGGAUACAAUAGAGUAGAGUGCACUUGAUGAAAUAAAGGACUUGUGUCAUUAAAGAUUACCUGGGGAUUAAUGACCCAAGCUGAUUUCUUCAAAUUUUUUUAAAAGAUGAUAUAAUGACUUUUAGUCAGUUGGGUUUGGUUCCAAAGAGAAAAGGGUCCACGUCCAAGAUUUGGCGGAAGGUUUUCUUAUAAAGAGUGAGUUGUGGAUGGCCGGGAAAGGAUAGUUGAUAAAUUUUUGGAAGAUUAAUGGGUGAAUAAUGUAGGCAUUUUGGUUGAUCAUGUUCGACAUGAUGGAGUUCCAAAGCUUAAUAACAUGAUAGCUUAAUUUUAUGAUAUCGAACCCAUGAAUCAGGUGGUGAAUUCUCUGUUGUUACAGCCUACCAUUUCAUAUCCUGUGAUGAUUGAAGCUUGCUUGAUGAUCUGUGUUAAAGCAUGAAGUGGCCAGAUCUGCAAGCAGAUUGGGGAAGAUGUAAACUCACACAUCAUUCAACUGCCAUCUUUUUCCUUGGUUAUAUCAGGUUCCCUUUGUGGGGGCAUUGCAUGGUUAGGCAUAAUACAACUACUUUUAGAGUCUAUUCACUAUGUAGAGUUCCAUGUCAAAUUUCUCUUAGUGCUGCUAGUUCAUUACAUAAUGAAACCCAAGACACCUCAACAUUUUUCUGGCCACAGUUUUAUAAACUUUGAACGUUCAUGAUCAAUUUAUAAUUAUUAUUUUUUGGUUGAAGUUCA